AUACCAUACAUCGUAUUUUAGCCUUCAAAUGUGAUAAGAAAAUUAUAUCACUGCACAACACUCUACAAAACCUACAAUUUAUUGCAUUGAGUGAGCAAAUAAAGAACAGAUAUGUUAUCCCGCCAACUCGAUUUGAUCUCCGAUGCACAAACAUGCACCGUUUGCAGUUAAGUUUAUUUCAAGCAUGGGGCACCCAAAGGAUUGCAGGCACCACAGGUGUUAAGAGUUUCAUUAAUUAAGUAACCGCGUUUCUUUGUCAAGACAUUUUCUUUCGUCUGAGAAGACUUCAUUAGAAACUGUUGGAAUAUAUAAUUUACUUCGUUACUUAUGUUUGUUGAAUAAGAUGUCGACCUAAUAAACAUUAUACUUAUCCUUUUGGUCGGGAGAUACGGUGUAAUUUAUCAAAGGGACUAUAUUUUCAAUGCGCAAUGACAGAUGAUAUAACAAGAAAUGGUACGAAACCACCAACUAGAUGGCACAGAUAGUCUACGACCUCCAGACGAACAAACAGUUCAUAAAACAGGCAGUUGGUAUCAGGAAGGUUGUGCUUCCGAAGGAAAAUUGGGCUAUCGCUUACUUAUGUUUUUGAGGCAUCCGCAGAUCCAAUUUACAACAUCAAGAGCGGGGGACGUUUGAAGUUGAAUGGUGCAUCACCGGCAAUGAUGUAGAAAACCCAAGCAUCCUCUUCAAGCCGUCUGGGUUACGGCAAUGAUGAUAUCUUCAAAACCUUCAUGACCGUUUCAACACUUACACUCAUUAUAAAACUAAUUAUACUUACUGUCAUAUAUAAAUAAAGCUUUAUUUAAAAUGUA